rnacentral:rRNA from 1 species
CCUACGGGAGGCAGCAGUCGAGAAUCAUUCACAAUGGGGGAAACCCUGAUGGUGCGACGCCGCGUGGGGGAAUGAAGGUCUUCGGAUUGUAAACCCCUGUCAUGUGGGAGCAAAUUAAAAAGAUAGUACCACAAGAGGAAGAGACGGCUAACUCUGUGCCAGCAGCCGCGGUAAUACAGAGGUUUCAAGCGUUGUUCGGAAUCACUGGGCGUAAAGCGUGCGUAGGCUGUUUGGUAAGUCGGUGGUGAAAGGCGCGGGCUCAACCCGCGGACGGCAUAUGCUACUGCGAGACUAGAGUAAUGGUGGGGGAACCGGAAUUCUCGGUGUAGCAGUGAAAUGCGUAGAUAUCG